rnacentral:rRNA from 1 species
AACGAACGCUGGCGGCAUGCCUAACACAUGCAAGUCGAACGAGACCUUCGGGUCUAGUGGCGCACGGGUGCGUAACGCGUGGGAACCUGCCUUUAGGUUCGGAAUAACUCAGAGAAAUUUGAGCUAAUACCGGAUGAUGUCUUCGGACCAAAGAUUUAUCGCCUUUAGAUGGGCCCGCGUUGGAUUAGCUAGUUGGUGGGGUAAAGGCCUACCAAGGCGACGAUCCAUAGCUGGUAUGAGAGGAUGAUCAGCCACACUGGGACUGAGACACGGCCCAGACUCCUACGGGAGGCAGCAGUGGGGAAUAUUGGACAAUGGGCGAAAGCCUGAUCCAGCAAUGCCGCGUGAGUGAUGAAGGCCUUAGGGUUGUAAAGCUCUUUUACCCGAGAUGAUAAUGACAGAAUCGGGAGAAUAAGCUCCGGCUAACUCCGU